rnacentral:tRNA from 1 species
ACCUCCAUGGCCCAAUAGAUAAGGUACCGGCCUCCUAAGCUGGGGAUUGUUGAACCAAGUCCUGUUGGAGGUA